CAGUUUUGAGACAAGAAAUGUGUACUUUUCCACCUAAAACAUGUCACAGAAAGAGCCGGUGUGAAAGUUGAGUUAAAAUGACAGGUAAAAUGACAGGUAAAAUGACAGGUAAAAUGACAGGUAAAAUGACAGGUAAAAUGACAGGUAAAAUCACAGGUAAAAUCACAGGUAAAAUCACAGGUAAAAUCACAGGUAAAAUGACAGGUAAAAUCACAGGUAAAAUCACAGGUAAAAUCACAGGUAAAAUGACAGGUAAAAUCACAGGUAAAAUCACAGGUAAAAUCACAGGUAAAAUCACAGGUAAAAUGACAGGUAAAAUGACAGGUAAAAUCACAGGUAAAAUGACAGGUAAAAUGACAGGUAAAAUCACAG